rnacentral:rRNA from 1 species
AACGAACGCUGGCGGCAUGCCUAACACAUGCAAGUCGAACGAGACCUUCGGGUCUAGUGGCGCACGGGUGCGUAACGCGUGGGAACCUGCCCUUAGGUUCGGAAUAACUCCCCGAAAGGGGUGCUAAUACCGGAUAAUGUCUUCGGACCAAAGAUUUAUCGCCUUUGGAUGGGCCCGCGUUGGAUUAGCUAGUUGGUAGGGUAAAAGCCUACCAAGGCGACGAUCCAUAGCUGGUCUGAGAGGAUGAUCAGCCACACUGGGACUGAGACACGGCCCAGACUCCUACGGGAGGCAGCAGUGGGGAAUAUUGGACAAUGGGCGAAAGGCUGAUCCAGCAAUGCCGCGUGAGUUAUGAAGGCCUUAGGGUUGUAAAGCUCUUUUACCCGGGAUGAUAAUGACAGUACCGGGAGAAUAAGCCCCGGCUAACUCCGUG